ACGCUCGACACCUACGUGAGGCAGCAGUGGGGAAUUUUGCGCAAUGGGGGCAACCCUGACGCAGCAACGCCGCGUGCGGGACGAAGGCCUUCGGUCGUAAACCGCUUUCAGCAGGGAAGACAGCGACGGUACCUGCAGAAGAAGCCCCGGCUAACUACGUGCUAGCAGCCGCGGUAAUCUGAGCGGGCUGGCAAGGC
rnacentral:rRNA from 1 species